rnacentral:tRNA from 1 species
AUUUAAAUAGUUUAAAAAGAAUAUUACAUUGAAGAUGUAAGGGAGAAGUUAUUUUCUUUAAAUA